rnacentral:lncRNA from 1 species
GCUAUACACAAUCCAACAACUUGGGAGGUGCAGCAACAACUUUAGGCUGCAGCAGCACAAGAGAAAUGGUCCAGCAAGGGGCCCAAUGGCAAUCNACUUUGCAGGUCCAAUUUCCACAUCCAGCAACAGGGAAUAGGUUUUUCAUAUUUAUUAUAGCAUCAGCCUCCACCAGGAGAUUCCUUGGGGAGGAGGUUACGUCCACAAUGGAGGGUUACGACUGAGGAUGGGAUGGAUUUAUUUCUUUUAGAAGUUGUGCAC